rnacentral:rRNA from 1 species
UACGUAGGGGGCAAGCGUUGUCCGGAAUCAUUGGGCGUAAAGCGCGUGUAGGCGGCCCGAUAAGUCCGCUGUGAAAGUCCAGGGCUCAACCCUGGGAUGCCGGUGGAUACUGUCGGGCUCGAGUCCGGAAGAGGCGAGUGGAAUUCCUGGUGUAGCGGUGAAAUGCGUAGAUAUCGAGAGGAACACCUGCGGCGAAGGCGGGUUGCUGGGCUGACACUGACGCUGAGGCGCGAAAGCCAGGGGAGCGAACGGG